rnacentral:rRNA from 1 species
AUUGAACGCUGGCGGCAGGCCUAACACAUGCAAGUCGAGCAGGAUUUACCUUCGGGUAAUGAGAGCGGCGGACGGGUGAGUAAUGCUUGGGAAUCUACCUAGUAGUGGGGGACAACAGUUGGAAACGACUGCUAAUACCGCAUACGCCCUACGGGGGAAAGGGGGGAUCUUCGGACCUCUUGCUAUUAGAUAAGCCCAAGUCGGAUUAGCUAGUUGGUGGGGUAAAGGCCUACCAAGGCGACGAUCCGUAGCUGGUUUGAGAGGAUGAUCAGCCACACUGGGACUGAGACACGGCCCAGACUCCUACGGGAGGCAGCAGUGGGGAAUAUUGGACAAUGGGCGCAAGCCUGAUCCAGCCAUGCCGCGUGUGUGAAGAAGGCCCUAGGGUUGUAAAGCACUUUAAGUAGGGAGGAAGGUCUGGUAAUUAAUACUUAUCAGGAUUGACGUUACCUACAGAAUAAGCACCGGCUAACUCCGUGCCAGCCGCCGCAGUAA